rnacentral:rRNA from 1 species
UACGUAGGGUGCAAGCGUUGUCCGGAAUUAUUGGGCGUAAAGAGCUCGUAGGCGGUUUGUCGCGUCUGCUGUGAAAACUCGGGGCUUAACUCCGGGCCUGCAGUGGGUACGGGCAGACUAGAGUGCGGUAGGGGAGACUGGAAUUCCUGGUGUAGCGGUGAAAUGCGCAGAUAUCAGGAAGAACACCAAUGGCGAAGGCAGCUCUCUGGGACGGUACUGACGCUGAGACGCGAAAGCGUGAGGAGCGAACAGG